AAAAAACCUUGUCUGCCCUCCCCACAAAAGUUUGUAAGAAAACUGGGAACUGCACCCACAUCUGCAGAGUCCAAGGACAUGACUACCUCUCUUUCAACAUGCUCAGAGGGCGCAGCUCCAACCACAGCAUGAACAGUAUGUAAACGGUGGCAUAAAGUCCAAAUGGCACUCUUGCUUUGGCUAAUGUGUGCUAAACUGGACAAAUAGCUAAGCAAGGAUUUGAAAGGUGAUUGUAAUCAAGCCACUAAAGAAAAGGAAACCGUUUUGAAAUCUGCCCUUUCUUGCAGCCCGUGGUCAAGAACAUUUAUACCUGCCGGGAUUGCGUGGGUCACACGGGAAGCGUUUCUCUCUCUUACGUUCACGUCUGCAGUGGCAUGGGUCUGCUACUGAAGAGUCUUUUUCCCCGGAUGGGAUUGGUGCUGGCCAUCUUCUUUUACUCAGCAAAGCAGGAGUUUAAAGUAGAGAUGCUAAAAGGAAAGCGAGUGAUUGUCACUGGAGCAAGCAGUGGAAUUGGAGAGCAAAUGGCCUACCACCUGGCACGCACGGGAUCUCAUAUUUUGAUCACAGCACGGACAGAAGACAAGCUACAGAAAGUUUCCACGCAGUGUCGAGAGCUGGGUGCAGCAUCCAUACACUAUGUGAGUGGCAGCAUGGAGAACAUGGCAUUUGCACAGGAGGUGGUGAAGGAGGCGGAGAAAUUGUGGGGAGGCCUAGACAUGCUGAUCCUCAAUCACAUUGGCAGCACAUACUUUGGCUACUUCAAGGGAGACACUGAGCACCUGCGAAAGCUCCUGGAGAUUAAUGUUCUCAGCUAUGUGACCAUGACCGUCUCUGCCUUGCCGAUGCUGAAGGAGAGUAGGGGCAGCAUCGUUGCAGUUUCUUCCUUGGCAGGGAAAGUUGGGACCCCGUUUACCGUUCCCUACUCUACAACUAAGUUUGCCUUGGAUGGGUUUUUCAGCUCCUUGAGGCAGAUGCUGGUUGUUGAGAAUGCCAAUGUUUCCAUCACGCUCUGUGUCCUGGGCUACAUCAAUACUGACACAGCUAUGAAAACAGUGUCCCAUGUGAUACGUAACAAACCUGCACCAAAAGAAGAGUGUGCUCUGGAGAUUAUCAAGAGUGGAGCGCUGCGUCAACGGGAACUGCAUUAUCCCUACAUCUCUGUGACAAUUCCCCUCUUAUUAAGAGAUUGGGCCCCGGACUUCCUGGAUUCUCUCACAAGAAAUAACAUGGACAUAGAAAAAGUCAAAAGAACAUAGCUGGUAAUAUGUAUUAGGGCCUAAUUAGGAAGCGACUAAUGGCAUGAGCACAGAGGUAAAUACAGUUAUUUUCUGGUCAGUGAAAAGAGCAUUUCUGGUGGGAUUUUCCAAAGUGCCUCAGUGACUUCAACAAAGCAAGUUCCUAGCACAGCUCCUGCUCUAAGCAUGCCAGCACGUGCCCUCAUAGACCCCAGCAUCAUCCCCAUGCAACUGCACCCGCAUACAGACACAUUCACGUGGCUGGGCAGUCAGCCCCUGCAUAGGCUUAACGCAUGUGCCCACAAGCUCACGGGCUGCUGCGUAGUCAUGUCCUUAGAAGUUAGAAAUGCCUCUGACUUUCAAAGUGACUUAGGCACCUACACCACUGAGACAAUACUGACUACUCUCAACUCUUCCUCCCACCCGCCUCCAUUUCCUCUCUGGAGAUGAGGCUUCCUUAAAGCAGCAAAAUCAUUUCCCUGGCUGAGAGGGCACAACUAACAGUGGAUGGGUUUGGAUCUCCUCUUGGAAGGAGGAGGUGGCCAUCGCCCGCUCCAAAGCAUUGCAGCCCCCAACAUGCCUCCUGCUCUUCCAACAAUCCUCAUGAUUUUUAGUACUAAAUCUCUAGGCUCCUUAUCACACAGAGUCCCAAGAAGAGCCACUAAGUAAGACAUCUAUUUUCAACAUGUUAGGAAAACCCAAGAUGAACUCCCUUUAACAUAGGGCCUGGUUCUCCUCUUCCUAUGUUCCAGCGAGAGCAGAACCAGGCCCCACAGCAUCCUUUCCUUCUGAACUGAUGCCAUUAUUGCUACUUGCUUCCACCGAGGCAAUGCAUAGGUGCCCUCAACAGGGACUGGGCUGUAUUUUGCUUAGCUAUAUAUGCUUACCCAAAGUGACCUCUUGCAAGAGCUAAUAGCAUUGCUUAAUGCAGAUAAUAGUAUUUGGAGGGACUGGGAUCAGUUCCGAGUUAUACAACCACCCAAAACUCUCUGCAAGCCAAACAUUGAGUUCCCAGUGAUUUCAAUGGGAGCUGAGGACAUUGAAAGUUUUAGGGGUCACAUUAUCCAUCACUGAAGUUAGGAGGGAGUCCUAAAACUCAACAGCGCUAAGUAUCUAAAAAGCAUCAUUAACUAUGGUAUUGGAUCACAUGCCAUGUGCAUGUUCUUUUUGUCUCUGCUGUUUACAUUUUAUAACAUCUCAGUUGGAGUUUAAAAAAAUAAAUAAAAGAAGAGGAGAAAUUGAGACAAAGUGUAAAUUAAAGCUAAGCUGGCAUAAUAAAGUAUUUUCCAAGGACACGUGAAGAACUGAAGGGGAGACUACCUGAAAUACAGAAAUCUGAAAGAGACUUGUUUAUUCUUUUCGGGCCCAAUUCAGCUUAACAGAGGUUGGGGAGAAGAUCCGUGAUUUGGUGCGUCUACCUCUGGGCUUCCAUCGCAAACACAGGGAAGAGCUCCACCCAAGCCACCAGGACAGAGCUAGGGUAGCGUCGGUGGACACCAUGAUCAGUCAACCUGAGAAGACCCUUCAUCGGCGUAGGAGUCCGAAUGAGAGUUAUGAAGAGAAGUGUGAGCGGCGGCAAGAGACACGCGAGAACUUGCGGAGGCGAAACAACGUGACCACGUGCCGCCGUAUGGGACAAUACAGGAAGAAAGAGAUGAAGGAGCAGUCCCAGAGCUCCCGCCAAAAGGAGUUUCUGAGAAGAAGGAACCUAGGGACUGAAGCAGACAAGAAACAAGGGAGGCCUCCCAUGGGAACACAAGUGCCUCUGGGACAAGACGGUGGAACAUGGACUCCCCUGAGCAUAUGGUCACGGAUGGAUCUGAGAGCGUCCACAGCCCUCCAGGUAACGGGGUCACAAGCUUUCCAUGGGUGCUGAGUGGCUUUGUAUGAGGACACGCCAUGUCCACUGAGGUCAACACGGGAGUGGGAUCAGAGCCAGGAAGCACUGGAAGGAAAGUUCCAGUUUUGCCAUUAGACUCCAUAUGCUCCCUCCAGGGUGGCAUUUUAUCAUGCCACUCAUUACAUGCUUUUUCUGCACUCCAUAUUCUGAGUUUUGAUCCCAGAGAGAUGCAGCCAUGUCUCACAGUGCAAACCUCCAUUUCGAUAGCAAACUAAGGCCUCCCCCUUGUGCAUAUUCUUUCACAUUCCCACCAAAAAGCAGAGACUACUAUCAUAAGCAUUUAGCUUUUUCAGUUGAUCACAUAGAAACAUGACUUCCUGCUGUUGUCUUCAUUGAUGUUAAUUUUCUCCUGCUGCUCCAAUAACAAGUAUUUGACUGUUCCCUAAUUUCCGUAUCUUUUUACAUAGCAGGCCCUAUUCCAUGUUGUACCCAACCAGCAGUGAGAUGUAGUUAGCCACGUUAGUCCAGCACAGAGGCACUAAUGCACUUACUGAAAAUUAAGCUCCUAUAGUGUCACACAGGCAGCCAGGAAACUUUCAGCUUCUUUCCUUUCUACCCCCUGGCCUCUUACCCAGUAUUGUUAUCUAAAAGACCAAGCUGCAGUGAGCGACCAAAGACAGUAAAACAACAACUGGAGACACCACAAGCCUGGCCAAGCCCUUUGGUCUCCUGUAUAAUGCAUGGAUGUGCAGGGCAAUUAUUUAGCGUACGUCCCCCCCAUGCAUACUAGCAUUAAUCCCAGGGCAGUCAACAAGAACCUGGAACAAGUAUCUUCAUGCAUGUGGCACAGCCGCCUUUCACAGACUGUAUUUUGUUGGCUGCAUCAACAUGCUUUUCCCCUGCAACCCCAUCCGAGCCCUCAGGGGAACUGCGAAGAAGGGGA